ensembl:lncRNA HCG25 HLA complex group 25
CGCUCCGCGGCGGGUGUGCUCGGCAGUCACAGACCCACUCAGGACACCUCCCGUUGCCGACGGGCUAGACCUGCCUUAAAGGGGUCCCCGUGUCUCUCCAGUCUAGAGCCUAAGUUCAAACGAGGCGUAUAGGCGAGGACAGCAGGAAGGCUCCAAGUCAAACAAACGGAUGCCCACAGGGAAGUGGUCUUGGGAAACCUGAAGACACUGGGAUAUUCAGAAGGCCAAGGGGAUCCAGCUUAUCCUGUUGGGCAAGGUGCUGGGAGUGAAGGCAGGUCACCUGAAUGAUACUGGUGCCAUUUCUGAAGUUGGUGAAACUCCGCAUUACAUCCUGACUCAGAGAUUCCACUGAUGAUUUCCAGGAACUACCAAAGCCACGGAUCAGCUGAGUUACCCGGGCUAAUAGCAGGAGGAAACAGUGUCAGAGAGGGAUCUGGCUGAUCUUCAACUCCACUAAGUUCUCCCCAAGGUAUAGCCAUCCUUAUCAUCAAACCCUCUUUUCUGGUAUUCUCUCAAUCCAGUCUUUCAUACUCUAUUCCCCCACCAUGUAAUCUGCAUCCUUUCAUUUUUCUUUUCCACUUCCCUUACCACUGAUCCCAUCAUUACCAUAUUUUCCUCAUACCUUCUUCCCCUCGAAGUCGCUCAGCCUGUCCACGCUCAAUCAAAGCCUCAGCCUCCUUCACAAAUGCCACUAAACCCCCA